rnacentral:rRNA from 1 species
AUUGAACGCUGGCGGCAUGCCUUACACAUGCAAGUCGAACGGUAACAGGUUAAGCUGACGAGUGGCGAACGGGUGAGUAAUGUAUCGGAACGUGCCCAGUCGUGGGGGAUAACUGCUCGAAAGAGCAGCUAAUACCGCAUACGACCUGAGGGUGAAAGCGGGGGAUCGCAAGACCUCGCGCGAUUGGAGCGGCCGAUAUCAGAUUAGGUAGUUGGUGGGGUAAAGGCUCACCAAGCAAACGAUCUGUAGCUGGUCUGAGAGGACGACCAGCCACACUGGGACUGAGACACGGCCCAGACUCCUACGGGAGGCAGCAGUGGGGAAUUUUGGACAAUGGGCGCAAGCCUGAUCCAGCCAUGCCGCGUGCGGGAAGAAGGCCUUCGGGUUGUAAACCGCUUUUGUCAGGGAAGAAAAGGUUCCGGCUAAUACCUGGGACUCAUGACGGUACCUGAAGAAUAAGCACCGGCUAACUACGUGCCAGCAGCCGCCGUAAGAC